UACUCCACAUACGACUUAUGCCACCAUACUUUUAUAAACAAAUACUAGUAUAAAACAAAUACAUGUAACAGUAGCCUACUUGCACUUACUGUAUGUUUUAAACAUAUCGGUAUUGAAAUUCGGUUUUCCCGUACCGAACCGAAUAAUACCGAAACCGAAUCCCCAUCAGUACCGAAUUUCGGUACCGGUACCAUACCGGUUCGGUUUUGAUUUUCUGGUUUUUACGCUCAUCCCUAGUGUUGUUAUUGACACGAGUACAGAAUUGCAAACAUAUCUAGAUGCGCUUCGUAUACAAGAUUCGGAAAGGUUUAACAUAUUAGACUGGUGGAAGGUCAAUGGUCCAAGGUUUUCAAUUCUUUCAAAGAUGGCCAAAGAUAUCUUCGCUAUUUAAAUUUCUACCGUUGCUUCGGAGUCCACUUUCGGUACUAGCGGCCGAGUUUUAGAUGCAUUUAGAAGUUCUUUGGCGGCUACCAAGGUUGAAGAAUUAAUUUGUGUUCAAGAUUGGAUUAGAGGGUUCGAGAGACUACCUACUUGGAGGAUGAAAUUGACAAUAUGAGUAUGAAGACACAAGUAACGGUGAGUUCGGUACAGCGGGAGCAAGUACAUCCAGGACUAGUUGAGAAGAUUUACACCAUGAAUUACAAGAGUUCGACAAAAGACAAUUCGUUUUAUUGAUUAUUGGUUUUCUAAAUCUCAAACCUGCUUAUUGGUUGGAUUUGCUUUUUAGAUUCUUCUUUUUGAGAUUUUUAUGUUGGAUUUGCAUUCAUAUUAUACCUUUCUAUUCAAUUUGGAUUUUCAUUCAUGUCAAA